CCUACGGGAGGCAGCAGUGAGGAAUAUUGGUCAAUGGACGAGAGUCUGAAGCAGCCAAGUAGCGUGAGGGAUGAAUGCCCUAUGGGUGGUAAACUUCUUUUAUAAAGGAAUAAAACGAGGCACGUGUGCCUUUUUGCAUGUACUUUAUGAAUAAGGAUCGGCUAACUCCGUGCCAGCAGCCGCGGUAAUACGGAGGAUCCGAGCGUUAUCCGGAUUUGAUGGGUUUAAAGGGAGCGUAGAUGGGAUGUUAAGUCAGUUGUGAAAGUUUGCGGCUCAACCGUAAAAUUGCAAUUGAUACUGGCAGUCUUGAGUAUAGUAGAGGUAGGCGGAAUUCGAGGUGUAGCGGUGAAAUGCUUAGAUAUCACGAAGAACCCCGAUUGCGAAGGCAGCUUACUAAACUGUGACUGACAUUGAUGCUCGAAAGUGUGGGUAGCAAACAGGAUUAGAUACCCGAGUAGUC
rnacentral:rRNA from 1 species